GUUGGGGUUGCGGGAGGCGACGGUGACCUGGAUGGUGGUGGAGAGGACGCCGCCGGCGGUGGAGGAGGAGUUGGAGAGGUCGAGCUGGCGGAGGGUGGCGUCCUGGAGGUAGAAGCGAGGGUGGGUGGGGCGGAGGACGAGGUAGACGAUGAGGGCGAUGAUGCCGACGAGGAUGGCGAGGACGACGAGGACGGUGAUGAAUCGCCGGCAUCCCUGCCGGAAGUCGUCGUCGCCGUGCUUGCCGCAAUCCUUC
rnacentral:lncRNA from 1 species